UACAGAGGGUGCGAGCGUUGUUCAGAAUUAUUGGGCGUAAAGCGCUGGUAGGUGGCUUGUUAAGUCGCGUGUGAAAGCUCCAGGCUCAACCUGGAAAGUGCGCGCGAAACUGGCGAGCUUGAGUGUCGGAGAGGAUCGCGGAAUUCCGGGUGUAGAGGUGAAAUUCGUAGAUAUCCGGAGGAACACCGGAGGCGAAGGCGGCGAUCUGGAAGACCACUGACACUGAGCAGCGAAAGCGUGGGGAGCAAACAGG
rnacentral:rRNA from 1 species